rnacentral:piRNA from 1 species
UGGGUUUCAAAUGUACAUCUAAAAUAAAGAA